rnacentral:rRNA from 1 species
CCUACGGGGGGCAGCAGUGGGGAAUAUUGCACAAUGGGCGCAAGCCUGAUGCAGCGACGCCGCGUGAGGGAUGGAGGCCUUCGGGUUGUGAACCUCUUUCGCCAGUGAAGCAGGCCUGUCCCUUGUGGGUGGGUUGACGGUAGCUGGAUAAGAAGCGCCGGCUAACUACGUGCCAGCAGCCGCGGUAAUACGUAGGGCGCGAGCGUUGUCCGGAAUUAUUGGGCGUAAAGAGCUCGUAGGCGGCUGGUCGCGUCUGUCGUGAAAUCCUCUGGCUUAACUGGGGGCUUGCGGUGGGUACGGGCCGGCUUGAGUGCGGUAGGGGAGACUGGAACUCCUGGUGUAGCGGUGGAAUGCGCAGAUAUCAGGAAGAACACCGGUGGCGAAGGCGGGUCUCUGGGCCGUUACUGACGCUGAGGAGCGAAAGCGUGGGGAGCGAACAGGAUUAGAUACCCUGGUAGUC